CACUGACCAACCGCGAUCCUAAGCUUUCGACGAUGUCCUUAACCCCCCUGGUUUUUGGACAGAAAUAUUAAAGAUAUUUCAAGUUUUCUGUUGUUUUUGAGCUAAAAAAUCUUAAUAUUUUCCUCCAACAUUACUUGUUUUACAACGCUGAGCGAGGGUGCGGGUUUGCUUCGCUUGUGGAUGCAGCAUUUCACUACAAAGAAAGACUAAUUCUUUCAGGUAAGAUUCACGAAACUUUUAUAACUUUCUAGAGUCACUAGACCCUUCGAUUAUGUUAUGUCAAAAACUUAUCCUAAUAUAUACAGCAAAUAUUUCAAUAGGGGACAUAAAAGUAUUGUUAACGACCAAACAUUGUGUACAUGAAAUUAUGUUGUUUUGUGUCAGCACUGGCCUUUGUGGUUUUAUUGCCAGUUUUUAAUUUAUACUAAAAAUUGUGGUUGUUUACAUGUUCAUAUAUUUUAAAACGUUUAUUAAAUAUGGUGUGAAAUUUAUAUACCUGCCCAUCACAGUGCAGAAUUAGUAGAUAUAGAUAAGCACAAGACCAGAGAGAGUUGAGCCGUAGAGGAGGCUCACCUACAUGUGACAAUCCAUGUGCCCUGUCCUGAUGAGCCCUAAAGACUGUCUUUAUUAUUUUGUCUAAUGCCAGACGAUCUUAAGGGGAUUGAGACUAAAUGAGACUGCUCCCUGCUGUCACACAGUGGGUUAAUUACACUAUCGGCAAAUAAACAGCCCCUGAGAUAUAUAGUCAGCCCAAUAUUAAACUGCAAUGAACCCUGGCUACCUUCUUAUUUUACUCAAUCUGUGAGAUUAAAUCCAGAUGUUUUACUCAUCAAGGGAAGAGUCUUAAAAAUAGAUAUCAUUUUGCACCAUUGUCUGUUUAGAACUAUGUAAAACUACUAUAUAGUUUUAGUGUAAAACUACUAUAUAGUUUUACACAGCUUGUUGGCAACAAAAAUGUUGCUCACAAGCUACCGGAAUUUAAGUGAGUUACUGAUACACUAAUCAUGAAGUAAAUUUGGAAUGCUACGUACAACAUUUCUAACAAGGGCAGAUUUUCAUUUAUUUAAAAGGAAGGGUAGAAGAAUUUCUGGUGGCCGGGUGCAAGCAGCACCACUCAGUGAGCUUUGGUGGGGUUGAACACUCUAUUAGAGGGGUUUAACCCCCCUCCCCCAAGUAAAACCACCCAUGAUUUCUAACAUUGGGAGUAGUGAUGUCCAAUUGGCCAUGACACAGCCUGUGAGAAAUUAUGAUGAUGACAUAUUUUAGUUAGGAAUGUAAUUGCAUUGCUGAAUACUGAAACAUGACAUUUAAUUUUGAAGCUCGGAUCAAUGGUCUUGGUAAAAACAGAUCAUGUAAUUGCACCCUUGACUAGUAAAUUGUCUGGUGUUAGGUAGAUUAAAAUAAUACAGAAAGGCAUAUCAAGACACAUUGCCACUUGUGAAGGGUUAACAUAUGUGUAUAUGAUAUUUUUGUGAUGUAUUAAAGAUGUAUAAUGUAUCAUGAUAAUAAUGUCAUCUUUUAUUUUGCAGAAAUUAUAUGUUUAAUGUACACAAGAGAUGGCACUGAGGCAUCUGAACAUGCAGAAAAACAUGCAGAACAACAAAAUGAAUUAGUUAAUUAUAACACCAUGCAUAACAACAUAAAUAAUUAUAUGAUUAUGAUAACUUUAUUGAAGUGUAAAUAAGUUUUAUAGUGC